rnacentral:piRNA from 1 species
UACAGAGAGAAACUCAACAAUAUCACC